UACGAGGGGGGCAAAUGUUGUUCGGAAUCACUGGGCGUAAAGGGAGCGUAGGCGGGUUUCUAAGUCAGGUGUUUAAUCCCGGGGCCCAACCCCGGACAGGCACUUGAAACUGGGAAUCUUGAAUAGUGGAGAGGUCAGUGGAAUUGGGGGUGUAGCGGUGGAAUGCGUAGAGAUCCCCAAGAACACCAGUUGCGAAAGCGGCUGACUGGACACAUAUUGACGCUGAGGCUCGAAAGCAUGGGGAGCAAACAGG
rnacentral:rRNA from 1 species